rnacentral:rRNA from 1 species
CCUACAGGUGGCAGCAGUGAGGAAUAUUGGUCAAUGGGCGCGAGCCUGAACCAGCCAAGUAGCGUGAAGGAUGACUGCCCUACGGGUUGUAAACUUCUUUUAUAAAGGAAUAAAGUGAGGCACGUGUGCCUUUUUGUAUGUACUUUAUGAAUAAGGAUAGGCUAACUCCGUGCCAGCAGCCGCGGUAAUACGGAGGAUCCGAGCGUUAUCCGGAUUUAUUGGGUUUAAAGGGAGCGUAGAUGGGUUGUUAAGUCAGUUGUGAAAGUUUGCGGCUCAACCGUAAAAUUGCAAUUGAUACUGGCAGCCUUGAGUACAGUUGAGGUAGGCGGAAUUCGUGGUGUAGCGGUGCAAUGCUUCGAUAUCACGAAGAACUCCGAUUGCGUAGGCAGCUUACUACACUGCCACUGACAUUGAUGCUCGAAAGUGUGGGUAUCAAACAGGAUUAGAUACCCCUGUAGUC